GGGGCUGUAGCUCAGUGGUAGAGCACUUACCUGGCAUGUGUGAGGCACUGGGUUCAAUCCUUAGCACCA
rnacentral:tRNA from 1 species